GACGAAGGGGGCUAGCGUUGUUCGGAAUUACUGGGCGUAAAGCGAGUGUAGGUGGUUGUCACAGUCAGGCGUGAAAGCCUUGAGCUCAACUCAAGAAAUGCGCUUGAUACUGGGCAGCUAGAGGACCGGAGAGGAUAGUGGAAUUCCCAGUGUAGUGGUGAAAUACGUAGAGAUUGGGAAGAACACCAGUGGCGAAGGCGGCUAUCUGGACGGUUUCUGACACUAAGACUCGAAAGCGUGGGGAGCAAACAGG
rnacentral:rRNA from 1 species